CCUACGGGGGGCAGCAGUGAGGAAUAUUGGUCAAUGGGCGGAAGCCUGAACCAGCCAAGUAGCGUGCAGGAUGACGGCCCUACGGGUUGUAAACUGCUUUUAUACGGGAAUAACGCGCCUUACGUGUAUGGCUUUGCAUGUAUCGUAUGAAUAAGGACCGGCUAAUUCCGUGCCAGCAGCCGCGGUAAUACGGAGGGUCCGGGCGUUAUCCGGAUUUAUUGGGUUUAAAGGGAGCGUAGGCGGCAUGUCAAGCUUGCGGUGAAAUGUCCGGGCUCAACCCGGGCCUUGCAGCGCGAACUGGAGGACUAGAGAACGCGGACAGCAGGCGGAAU
rnacentral:rRNA from 1 species